CAUUGCUGGAACGCGCCCCAGGCGCACCCAGAAACCCUUUGUGAACUUAUACCUUUUGUUGCCUCGGCGCAUGCUGGUCUCUAGUAGGCCCCUCACCCCGGUGAGGAGACGGCACGCCGGCGGCCAAGUUAACUCUGUUUUUACACUGAAACUCUGAGAAAAAACACAAAUGAAUCAAAACUUUCAACAACGGAUCUCUUGGUUCUGGCAUCGAUGAAGAACGCAGCGAAAUGCGAUAAGUAAUGUGAAUUGCAGAAUUCAGUGAAUCAUCGAAUCUUUGAACGCACAUUGCGCCCUCUGGUAUUCCGGAGGGCAUGCCUGUUCGAGCGUCAUUUCAACCCUCAAGCAUUGCUUGGUGUUGGGGCACUGCUUUUAACGAAGCAGGCCCUGAAAUCUAGUGGCGAGCUCGCCAGGACCCCGAGCGUAGUAGUUAAACCCUCGCUUUGGAAGGCCCUGGCGGUGCCCUGCCGUUAAACCCCCAACUUUUGAAAAUUUGACCUCGGAUCAGGUAGGAAUAC
rnacentral:rRNA from 1 species